AAACUGGUAGACUAUACUGUCAGUACAUCAAUCAUUAGCCGACUCAGGCCAUUCAGGCCUUUGAUUUUUCUUUUUGGUUAAAUUCCUUCCCUUUGUUGUUCCUGUCCUUUGGACAGCUUCCAUCACACAAUUUUAUAGUAAUACAUAAACAUCUACUCUGAAACUGGUCAGAAUUGCACCAAACUUGGUCUGUAGCCUCUUGGUAAGAUCCUCUCUCAGAUUUGUUCAAAUGGUUCUGCUCGAUCCCUUUUAGGGGCCACUAGAUGUAAAAUAGAAAAACCUUUAAAUAAUUUUUUCAUAAACAGCUUCACGGAUCUUUGUCAAACUUUAUCUGUAAUAUUGUUUUUGGGUCAUUUCAUGGUACAUGGUUAAAAGUGUAACUUUAGUUUAAUUAAAUCGCUUGUUACAGGUAAAUCUAUAUAUUUAAAAUGAUAAGUUUAAUUGAGUGGCUUGUUACAGGUAAAUCUAUAUAUUUAAAAUGAUAAGUUUAAUUGAGUGGCUUGUUACAGGUAAAUCUAUAUAUUUAAAAUGAUAAGUUUAAUUGAGUGGCUUGUUACAGGUAAAUCUAUAUAUUUAAAAUGAUAAGUUUAAUUGAGUGGCUUGUUACAGGUAAAACUGUAUAUUUAAAAGGAUGACUUCAGUUGAGUCACAUGUUACAGGUACGUAAAUCUAUAUAUCUAAAAGGAUAACUUUAAUCGAGUACCUUGCUACAGGUAAAUCGACCUAUCUAAAAGGAUAACUUUAAUCGAGUGGCUUGUUACAGGUAAAUCUACAUAUCUAAAAGGAUAACUUUGAGUGGCUUGUUACAGGUAAAUCUGCAUUAUAUAAAACUGUAACUAGAAUUUAAUUGCAUGUUGCUGGUAAAUCUACAUAUCUUAAAGGGUAACUUCAAUUGAAUCUAUUGUUAAGGUAAACUCAUAUUUAAAACUUCCAAAUGAGAACUGGAAAUUGUUAGGUUAUAUUUUGAAAAUGGUUUACAAUGUUCUGAAUUUUGACUCCAGAGAUUCUUCUUGAAAUAAAGAAUGAAGUCCCACAUAUACAUGUAUAUGCAUACCUUUACAAGUUUGAAAUUGCAACAUCUCUGUUGUUAAAUAAAUUUAGUAAUGAUUGUCUGGAUUCCUCAACCAUGCUGUAAAAUGAUCCAGAUGAUUGGCAUGUGGUACUGUUCAAGUUACAGUACACAAGUAACAUUUUGAUAAUUGAUAAUGACUUACGCUCACCAAAGGUGCAGCAUGUAGUCGCUGCUUUGUCUUUCCAUCCGUCUGUCCAUCCUCUCAUCCGUCCCGCAUUUCUUGUCCAAGAUAUUUCUCAGCAACCGCUGGUUGUAAUUUAGUGAAACUUCAUAGGAAGCUAUACUAUCAAGAGGAGAUGCACAUGUUAUCUUCAUGUUCCGGUCUGAAGAUUUUUCACAGAGUUAUUGCCCUUUGAUUUUUCAGUAGUAGGAUCCUAUAGUACAAUUCUUGUCCAGAAUAUUUCUCUGCAACCACUGCUUGGAAUUUAGCCAUACUUCAUAGGAAGCUUAACUAUCAAGAGGAGAUAUGGAUGUUGUCUUUAUGUUUUGGUCUUAUGAUUUUUCACCCAGUUAUUGCCCUUUAUUCAACAAAAGUAUAUUAUAGUACAAUUCAUGUGCGGAGGAGUGGUUACUGGUUGGAAUUUAGUGAAACUUCAUAGGAAGCUUCACUCCCAAGAGGAGAUGCGUAUUUUCUUCAUGUUGUGGUCAGUUGAUUUUUCAUCAUGUUGUUGCCCUUUGAUUAUUCAACAAUAGUACAAUUCUUGUCCGGAGUAUUUCUCUGCAACCAUUAGUUGGAAUUUAGCGAAUCUACAUAGGAAGCUUCACUAUCAAGAGGAGAUGCACAUGUUAUCUUCGUGUUUUGGUAGGAUGAUUUUUCACUGAAAUAUUGCCUGUUGCUUAUUCAACAUUAGUAAAUUAUAGUGCCAUCAUAGUCAGGAGAACUUCUCAGCAACUACUGCCUGGUAUUCAGCAGAAAUUAAUAGGAUGCUUCACUCUCAAGAGGAGGUGUGCAUAUUUUCUUAAUUAUCCAUUGGAAUGAGAGCAUCCAUCGGUUUUACCAGUGUUUCUUGUUUCUAGUUGUUACUAUAAGGAUGGGUUGCUGAUUAAAUUUAAUUUAAUCAAUACAGACUAUAGUGAAAUUAAAUCUUUAAACUCUAAUUAGAAUGGUUACAGUUUGAUAGAGACCUCCAUACUGGCCGAGUGGCUAAGGUUGCUGAUAUAAAAUCACUAGCCCCUCAUCAGUGUGGGUUCCAUAAGGGUCUUCUUCUACCAUUCAAAUCUGGAAAACUGCCAUAUGACCGAACUAUUUUUGGUAUGACUUUAAUAACAUUGGUGUUUCUUAAAAAAGCAUUGAAAAAAUAAAACAGUUUAAAAGAAAUCUUUGAAUAAGCCAUUAUUUCUUACAAGAGCAUAAAGAAAGUGGUUUAUAUGUCAUGCCAUUAUGUCAGUUAUAACCGACCAUUUCAAUCACUUGUUUCUAAAUGAUAUGCAUACACUUGUUGAGUUUUUUCCUUGUCAGUGGUUUUGGCAGGUAAAAUGCUUCUUAUGUGUAUCUCCCAUGUACAUUUAUCAAAAAGCAAAAAUUCACGUUUUGUUAAAACAUUAUUGGAGCAUCAAUACUCGUAUGUAUGAUAUUGUUUAAUUGCCUCCCUUUACAUUAAAUAAAGAACAUAUUUUGAUAUCUAAUAAUAAUUGAAUGACAUCAGGUAAAAGAAAAAUGUUAUACUAAAUGAUGUACAGUGGUCAUUAGAAAGCAAUGGCAGACUUUAUUUUAUAUUUUUUCUGACUGUUCCUAUGGUAAAUUAUAUUCCAAAAUAAGAGUCAGUAUAUGUAUGUUUCUGAACUUCUUUGCAAGUUGUUGUCAUCACAAAAGUGUUCAAUGAAAGAGAAUAAGUUCUUUUUAUUGUCUUUUGGAAAAAUCAUUAAAUUAUUUAUGAUAUGGUUAAA
rnacentral:lncRNA from 1 species